rnacentral:lncRNA from 1 species
CUCCAAUAUAACAACACUCAGGAAUCACCUCCCACUACUGCUGGGGCAGGCGGUGGGAACAGAUGUAGAGAGGGCACACAAUGAGCCUCACGUAAGCAUCAGGUACUACAUUUAGGAAGAGAGAUGGUGUGAGGAUGCAGUGGCCAGAAGAGGCAGCCCAGGGAAGAUCUGAGGUGAACCCUCUGGUUGGAAAGCCUUGGCAAAUUGGAGGAAUGAAAAGAAAAAAGAGUAAAUCUACAACAAGGAUCAGCAAACUCCAGUCUACAGGCCAAAUCCAGCCUGCUGCCUGUUUAUGUCAAUAAAGUUUUA